AUGAAUUGUCUAAGUUGGAAUUGCCGAGGGCUUGGGAACCCCGAGGCAGUUCGAGAGCUUCGCAAGGUAGUGAAGCAAGAAGGGCCUGCCUUAGUUUUUGUUAUGGAGACAAAGAUUAGGGUGAAGAGGGUGGAAGGUCUACAUCAUACUCUUGGUUUGGCGGGUUGUUUUGCAGUGGAUAGUGUUGGUCUCAGUGGUGGAGUUGGACUUUUU
rnacentral:rRNA from 1 species